rnacentral:lncRNA from 1 species
UAUGUUUAAAUAUGUUUGUUCACUCCUUAUUACUUUAUGUUACUUUAUCAUAUCUACGAUCAGACUUUUGGAGCCAUAGCUGCAUGGGUCAUCCUGAAAAUGUCUGACAUGCAUUAGGUAUGCAAUAAAUGUUUGAUGAAUGAAUUCACAGCUGAUGGGUCUAGAAAGUCAUGAUCAUGAUUUUUACUUUUAAUUAAAGAAUCUGGGGAACCGUUGUAGACAUUUAAGAAGGUGAUGAUACCCAAAUGAUACUUGCAGAGGGUAGUUAGAACAAAAGAGAGAAGACAUCUUAAAUUUCUCAGAGAUGGUAAGAAUGAGGAGCUAACGAAUUAAAGCAUUUGAUUUCCCAGAAUUCUAUUUUUAACAAUUCUCACUGUAACUUACUAGGUUUAAAAUUAGUACAAAGUGUUGGAGGCAGAGUUAUUAAAUAGUUUGUAAAUUCGACAGGAGAGAAGCCAACAUAUUUGAAAAGUUAAUCAUUUAAACUUCACAUUUUAAUCUUAACAAAGUCUUCCAAAAUGUUUUUAAAAAUAUUAGUGUCACCUUAAUUUUGACAUUUAUGAGAAGAUCUAAUAUACUUAGCCUAUAUCUAAAAAGCCCUUGGUUUUCUUUCUGACUCUUUUUACUGAGAAGUCUAAUCACUUCUCUCAUUCUGUCAACUAACCUGAACUGUUGUCUUUUGCUUCUAACUUUUCUUUCUUUUUUCUUUUUUUGCCUCGCUGUAAUGUCCAGAGGUUCUGGAAAUGAAGAAAAGGUGAUUUGUGAGGGGUUGGCUCUACUAGUACUAUACAAGAGGGUGAGCAAUAAGCCUCCCAAUACUUU